UGCGUAGGCGGUGCGGUAAGUCUGUUGUGAAAUCUCCGGGCUCAACUCGGAGCCUGCAACGGAAACUGCCGUGCUGGAGUAUGGGGAGAGGUGAGUGGAAUUCCCGGUGUAGCGGUGAAAUGCGUAGAUAUCGGGAGGACACCUGUGGCGAAAGCGGCUCACUGGACCAUUACUGACGCUGAUGCACGAAAGCUAGGGGAGCAAACAGGAUUAGAUACCCUGGUAGUCCUAGCCCUAAACGAUGAUCGCUUGGUCGUGACAGGUACCCAAUCCUGUCGUGCCGGAGCUAACGCGUUAAGCGAUCCGCCUGGGGAGUACGGUCGCAAGGCUGAA
rnacentral:rRNA from 1 species